CGUACGAGCAAAAGCAGGAAUCCCCUCCGCGGCUACGUUCCGGAGCAGUGGCAUGUAGGACAGCAAAGUGUAGUUUGGGUGCGCAGGGUCUGGGGUAGGUCGACUUCCGGCGAUCUGAGGCACUCCUAAUGUCUUACAGAUAGUUUUUUUUUUUCAACGUUUAUUUAUUUUGGGGACAGAGAGAGACAGAGCAUGAACGGGGGAGGGGCAGAGAGAGAGGGAGACACAGAAUCGGAAACAGGCUCCAGGCUCUGAGCCAUCAGCCCAGAGCCUGACGCGGGGCUGGAACUCACGGACCGCGAGAUCGUGACCUGGCUGAAGUCGGACGCUCAACCGACUGCGCCACCCAGGCGCCCCUACAGAUAGUUUUGAACGAUCCUCAAAUGAAAGAAGGAAAUACACACUCCAAGAGCUCUUCCAUAGCUACAUCUUUCUAGGUGAAGGUAUGAGGAUUCUCCCGGUUUGCCUCCUGACUUUAUCAAAGGAGAGAGUCCUUGCUGAAUCCCCAUCUACACAGAAGACAACUUUUGGUCUCUGUGAUGCCAAAGGUGUCAGUUCCAGAGUGUUGCAACGGCUCCAGGGCUCAAGAUCUUGCUGAUGUCUGGGAUCUGUUCUGGGUCAUUCACUGUCCUGCUCUGUCGUGUAUGGAAUCCAUGGUUGGCAAGGAUCUCGCUUCAUGCCCCUCCACUAGCAUCGGAUGAGGUUUUACCUCAGUUUUCAGGUAGGUGCUUCUCUGCUCUGCGACCUUCUACGAGGCCUUUUUCCACCUUCGCCGGGCAACCAGCUUCGUUGUCUAGCCCGGCAGGAGGGAUGCGGGGAAGAGGAAAAAAACUUGGAUCCAUGAAAUCACAUUGGGAGCCAUUUCCAAAAAAUCAUGACGCUUUAUAACAUCCGUAUCAGCACGGAGUGAUGAGUCUUUGGGACAUAGUAAUUCGGUCACCUUCUUUGGGUCAGGUCUCUACAGCUCCAGCCCUGCCAGGCCAGCACCCCCCACCCACCCACCUCUUCCCCUAC
rnacentral:lncRNA from 1 species